GCUUUUUUUGCAGAAAUGUCCAUAACUCAGCGUAGUGAUAGCAUGAACUCGUAUUUUGAUGGUUAUGUGAAUGCGUCAACUAAUCUAAAUCAGUUCUUCAAAUUGUAUGAGAAAGCUGUGGAGAGCCGUACUGAAAAAGAAGUCAAAGCUGAUUAUGAUACAAUGAGUACAUUUCCAGUUUUGAAGACCCCUUCUCCAAUGGAGAAGCAAGCAUCCGAGGUUUACACGAAAAAGUUAUUUAUGAGAUUUCAGGAGGAGUUGGUUGCCACUCUAACUUUCAUGGCGAACAAAGUUGAGGAUGAUGGACUAGUUACCACUUAUCAAGUUGCUAAAUUUGGGGAUGACCACAGUGCUUACUAUGUAAGAUUUAAUGUUUUAGAAAUGAAAGCUACUUGUAGCUGCCAGAUGUUUGAGUUCUCAGGACUUCUUUGUCGCCACGUUUUAGCAGUGUUCAGAGUGACAAAUGUUCUGACUCUUCCUUCUCAUUACAUCCUCAAACGAUGGAGCCGAAGUGCAAAGAGCAGUGUUGCAUUGGAAGACCGCGUUGCUGAUGUAAUCAAUUAUUAUUUGGAAUCACAUACUGUUCGAUAUAAUAUGCUGAGACAUGAAGCAUUUAAGUUUGUGGAGGAAGGGGCAGAGACUGUUGAUUCUUAUACUGUGGCAAUGGCUGCU
rnacentral:misc_RNA from 1 species